rnacentral:rRNA from 1 species
UACGUAGGGUGCAAGCGUUGUCCGGAAUUAUUGGGCGUAAAGAGCUCGUAGGCGGCUUGUUGCGUCGGCUGUGAAAACCUGAGGCUCAACCUCAGGCCUGCAGUCGAUACGAGCAGACUAGAGUGUUGCAGGGGAGACUGGAAUUCCUGGUGUAGCGGUGAAAUGCGCAGAUAUCAGGAGGAACACCGGUGGCGAAGGCGGGUCUCUGGGCAACAACUGACGCUGAGGAGCGAAAGCGUGGGGAGCGAACAGG